AUUGAACGCUGGCGGAAUGCUUUACACAUGCAAGUCGAACGGCAGCACGGGUGCUUGCACCUGGUGGCGAGUGGCGAACGGGUGAGUAAUACAUCGGAACGUACCCAGUCGUGGGGGAUAACUAACCGAAAGGUUGGCUAAUACCGCAUACGUCCUGAGGGAGAAAGCGGGGGACCGUAAGGCCUCGCGCGAUUGGAGCGGCCGAUGUCUGAUUAGCUAGUUGGUGAGGUAAAGGCUCACCAAGGCGACGAUCAGUAGCUGGUCUGAGAGGAUGAUAAGCCACACUGGAACUGAGACACGGUCCAGACUCCUACGGGAGGCAGCAGUGGGGAAUUUUGGACAAUGGGGGAAACCCUGAUCCAGCCAUUCCGCGUGAGUGAAAAAGGCCUUCGGGUUGUAAAGCUCUUUCGGCAGGGAAGAAACGCUCUGGAUUAAUACUCCGGGGUAAUGACGGUACCUGAAGAAGAAGCACCGGCUAACUACGUGCCAGCCGCCGCCGUAA
rnacentral:rRNA from 1 species